rnacentral:rRNA from 1 species
UACGUAGGGUCCGAGCGUUGUCCGGAAUUACUGGGCGUAAAGAGCUCGUAGGUGGUUUGUCGCGUUGUCCGUGAAAUCCCACGGCUUAACUGUGGGCGUGCGGGCGAUACGGGCAGACUGGAGUACUGCAGGGGAGACUGGAAUUCCUGGUGUAGCGGUGGAAUGCGCAGAUAUCAGGAGGAACACCGGUGGCGAAGGCGGGUCUCUGGGCAGUAACUGACGCUGAGGAGCGAAAGCGUGGGGAGCGAACAGG